GGGGCUGAUUGGUUUCGACGGGAUUAGUUGGGUAUAAGUGGCAAGCCGAAGGCACUCGUUACGUGCAACAAAACAAUAAAUGGAAAAAAUUUAAAAAAUGUAUUUGCUAGUGCUUUUGCACCAGCAUUCGCUUAAUAGAAAUAGGCAAUACAGCCCUUCUUUAUUUCAUUCCCAUGGGAAUUUAGAGGGGCUCGAUUUAAUGGGAUAUACUAUUAUCUAGCUUUGAGAUAAUAGCGAAUUUUAAAAGCUUACUAAUAAAUGAGUUGUCAAUUACUAACAUUUAUUAGGACAAUUAAUAAUUGACUAAACUUGUAGAAGCUUAUAUUGGAUUAAUUUCGGACAGCGGUUCAAUUCCGCUCAGCUCCACCA
rnacentral:tmRNA from 1 species